CUACGGGGCGCAGCAGUCGAGAAUCAUUCGCAAUGGGCGAAAGCCUGACGAUGCGACGCCGCGUGAACGAAGAAGGCCCUCGGGUUGUAAAGUUCUUUCGCUUGGGAAAAAGAGAUAUAGAUGAAUAAUCUAUAAAUUUGAUCUACCAGGUAAAGAAGCACCGGCUAACUCCGUGCCAGCAGCUGCGGUAAUACGGAGGGUGCAAGCAUUAAUCGGAUUUAUUGGGCGUAAAGAGCGCGUAGGCUGUUAUUUAAGUCAGAUUUGAAAUUCCGGAGCUCAACUUCGGAGCUGGAUUUGAAACUGGAUGACUCAGAGGAUAAGCGGAGAAAAUAGAAUUUCACGUGUAGCGGUGGAAUGCGUAGAUAUGUGAAGGAAUACCGGUGGCGAAGGCGGUUUUCUAGCUUACUCCUAACGCUGAGGCGCGAAAGCAAGGGUAGCAAACAGGAUUAGAUACCCUCGUAGUC
rnacentral:rRNA from 1 species